UACGUAGGGCGCAAGCGUUAUCCGGAAUUAUUGGGCGUAAAGAGCACGUAGGCGGUUUGUCGCGUCUGCCGUGAAAGUCCGGGGCUCAACUCCGGAUCUGCGGUGGGUACGGGCAGACUAGAGUGAUGUAGGGGAGACUGGAAUUCCUGGUGUAGCGGUGAAAUGCGCAGAUAUCAGGAGGAACACCGAUGGCGAAGGCAGGUCUCUGGGCAUUAACUGACGCUGAGGAGCGAAAGCAUGGGGAGCGAACAGG
rnacentral:rRNA from 1 species